rnacentral:tRNA from 1 species
CGGGGUGUAGGCAAGCCCGGUGAGCCGUCUGCCCUGGGAGCAGAAAAUCGGAGGUUCAAAUCCUCCCGCCCCGACCA